rnacentral:sRNA from 1 species
GCUGGGAGUGGUGGUGCAUGCCUGUAGUCCCAGGUACCUGGGAGGCUGAGGCAGGACAAUUGCUUGAACCCAGGAGGUGGAGGAUGCAGUGAGCCAAGACUGUGCCAUUGCACUCCAGCCUGGAGACAGAGCGAGACUCUGUCUAAAAAAAAAAUUGAGAUAAGUAAAGUCAACGGAUAAAAAGAAAUUUUGUUGAGGCUGGAGUACAGUGGCGUGAUCUCAUCUCACUGCAACCUCUGCCUCCUGAGUUUAAGCCAUUCUCCUGCCUCA